AUAAUAAGACAUUAACCUGGGGAUUGUUGUUGUUUGCCACUUCACUAAAUUUUAUUACCAGCAACGCCUUUGUCCCCAAGCUAAGGCGGCGAUAGAGAGAGAGAGAGUAUGGAGGAAAGGAAGGGUAAGCGGAUUAGGUCAGAGGAAGAUCCCCCGAGAUCUUCUGACAAGCGACGUAAGACGAGGAAGAAGGAAGAUGAGAAUGUCCUGAGCAGAAGAGGAUCUUCGAGUUCUGAGGGAAGAAGAAGAGGAAGAGACAUGUCUUCUCCCGACAAGGAUGAGUCUGAAGGAACAAGAAAGUAUGCUGGUUUGACUUGUCAUCAGUGUAAGAUCAUGAUGAGUAGUAAGACUGAUCUUGUCUUCUGUUCAAUAUGUAUCAAUAAGCGCUACUGCAAGGACUGCAUCACUAGAUGGUAUCCAGAGAGAACACCCGAGGGAGUUAAAGCUGCUUGUCCUUUCUGUAUGGGGAAUUGCAACUGCAGAGCUUGUUUGCGAGAGCCUUUGGCCGUCAAGAUACAAAGUGAAAAGGAUGAUAAUGUCAAGCUCAAGCAGUUGCAGUACCUAUUAGUUAAAGUCCUUCCUGUUCUUAGGGCUAUUUAUACAGAGCAGGACAAUGAACUAGAGAUUGAAACAGCGAUUAGAGGAGUGCCUGUGACAGAAUCUGAUGUUGCUAAGUGCGAGGUUCAUCCAAGUGUACGCAUAUACUGUGACCUCUGCAGCACAUCCAUUGCCAAUUUUCUCAGAAGCUGUCAGAACCCAAAUUGUUCUUCCGACAUAUGUCUCUCUUGCUGCAAGGAACUGAGAGAUGGCGAGAGUUUCUCUAACUCCGACGGUACCAUUCCCUGCCCACCAAAGGAACGUGGUGGUUGUGGUACCUCAACACUGGAGUUGAGACGUUUGCGCAAACGUGAUUUGGUCCAAAAACUGAUAACCGAUGCAGAGGAACUUACUCUACACACUAAACCACAAGAUGUGGAUUUUGCUCAUGAAUGUUCCUCAUGCACUGCCAGUUCUAGAAGGCAAGCUGCUUCUAGGAAGAACGGUCAUGAUAACUUCUUAUACUCCCCAAACGCUCUUGAUCUAGCCGAAGACGACAAUGCUCAUUUCCAGUCGCAUUGGAUAAAGGCAGAGCCUGUUAUAGUCAGAAACGUUCUGGAGAAGACAUCAGGACUAAGCUGGGAGCCAAUGGUUAUGUGGAGGGCGUGUAGAGAAAUGGAUCCUAAGGCUAAUUGCAAAGGUGAGGCAAAAGCUGUGAAGGCUGUGGACUGCUUGGACUGGUGUGAGGUUGAGAUAAACAUUCAUCAGUUUUUCGAUGGCUACUUAAAAGGGAGAAUGCAUUGCAACGGUUGGCCAGAGAUGUUGAAACUGAAGGAUUGGCCUCCAUCAGCUUUGUUUGAAGAGCGGCUUCCGAGGCAUAAUGAUGAGUUCAUGUCUGCGUUGCCUUUCUUUGAUUACACUGAUCCAGAGUCUGGUAUCUUGAAUCUUGCUACAAGACUUCCAGAUGGAUCCUUGAAGCCAGAUCUUGGACCAAAGACGUACAUUGCUUAUGGUUUCCAUGAGGAGCUUAAUAGAGGAGACUCUGUGACAAAGCUACAUUGUGAUGUUUCUGACGCGGUCAAUGUGCUGACACACACAACUAAAGUGGAUUUAACUCCCAGACAAUACCAAAGGAUAAAAUUAGAACAGAGAAGAUAUGCAAAAGCACAAUUGCGUAAACAACAGGAAAACAAGUCACUGGGAGAAGUAGAUAAAGAUGAAAUAAUCUUGAUUGAGAAUGAGGAAGAUUUAAAGAAUUGCAAUGGUCUUUUGGGGGAACAGAGCUUGAAGGACAAGGCAUCUAAAGAAGAACCAUCAAACAGCAUUGCUGGACCGUCCAGAUCACAAAAAGGUGAAUGUACUAAAGUUGAAAGAGCUGAUGAUCCUAUGGAAGGAUCUUCUAGUUUGUAUUCUUGCACUGGUGCUAUGGAGUCAGGUCAUGAUCCAAAGGUGGAUGUGGGUUUGAUAACUCAGGAGAAUGUAACAGUGAAAUAUGAAUCAAUUGCUGACGAGAAUCAUGAUAACGUCUGUUUGAAGACAGGGAGAUUAUCUCCAAGUCAAAGAGAAGCUGAUUCAUCCGUGGAGAAUGAACUAAAGAUGCCAACAAAGGAAACUGAGAUGAUGCCAACACUUCCUUCAACUCCCCCGUGGGAUGAAGAAGAUAGGCCCCCACGGCCUGUCGUCAGUACAAGUGCGGAAUCAAUACAAGAGCAGAAACUAGAUGCUCCAAAAGAAACAAAUGAGAGUUCAAAGGCUGUGCACGGUGGUGCUGUGUGGGACAUCUUUCGAAGAGAGGAUGUUCCAAAACUUGUUGAGUAUUUGAAAAGGCACAAGCAUGAGUUUCGUCACCUCUACAACGAACCUGUGAAAUCUGUGUCACACCCAAUUCAUGACCAAAGUAUGUUCUUGAAUGAAAGACAGAAGAAACAGCUCAAGGAGGAGUUCGAUAUAGAACCAUGGACCUUUGUGCAACACCUCGGUGAAGCUGUCUUUAUCCCUGCAGGUUGUCCUCACCAAGUGAGGAACAUACAGUCAUGCAUAAAGGUGGCACUAGAUUUUGUUGCCCCUGAAAGCGUAGAGGAAUGUCUUAGGCUAACAGAGGAGUUCCGGAGACUACCAAAAGUUCACAGAUCCAACGAAGAUAAACUAGAGCUUAAGAAGAUAGUGCUGCAUGCUGCCAGCUCAGCCAUAAGAGAGGCAAAAAAGCUAGUGCAAAAGUCCAAGAUACAAUGAUGGCAACAAAAGACUCGAGAGUUUUUUUUUUCUUUCAAAUUAGACGUCAAGCUCUACAUUGUAGGACUUGAUUUGUCCCCAGAGAUUAACAUCUGAGAGAACCCAUCUUUUUACUUUUGUCAGAGAACAAACUCCCUUGUGAUGUUAGAUGCCAACUAUUCCUUUGCAUUUUGCUUAUUCUUCUCGUCUGAUCUUAUAACAGUUGAGGCGUAGAAACAUGAAAUCAAGUCAAAAGACACGCCUUGCGUAGA